UGGGGAAUAUUGGACAAUGGGCGCAAGCCUGAUCCAGCCAUACCGCGUGGGUGAAGAAGGCCUUCGGGUUGUAAAGCCCUUUUGUUGGGAAAGAAAAGCAAUCGAUUAAUACCCGGUUGUUCUGACGGUACUCAAAGAAUAAGCACCGGCUAACUUCGUGCCAGCAGCCGCGGUAAUACGAAGGGUGCAAGCGUUACUCGGAAUUACUGGACGUAAGGCGUGCGUAGGUGGUUGUUUAAGUCUGUUGUGAAAGCCCUGGGCUCAACCUGGGAAUUGCAGUGGAUACUGGGCGACUAGAGUGUGGUAGAGGGUAGUGGAAUUCCCGGUGUAGCAGUGAAAUGCGUAGAGAUCGGGAGGAACAUCCAUGGCGAAGGCAGCUACCUGGACCAACACUGACACUGAGGCACGAAAGCGUGGGGAGCAAACAGGAUUAGAUACCCUGGUAGUCCACGCCCUAAACGAUGCGAACUGGAUGUUGGGUGCAAUUUGGCACGCAGUAUCGAAGCUAACGCGUUAAGUUCGCCGCCUGGGGAGUACGGUCGCAAGACUGA
rnacentral:rRNA from 1 species